rnacentral:rRNA from 1 species
AGUGAACGCUGGCGGUAGGCCUAACACAUGCAAGUCGAACGGCAGCACAGUAAGAGCUUGCUCUUACGGGUGGCGAGUGGCGGACGGGUGAGGAAUACAUCGGAAUCUACUUUUUCGUGGGUGAUAACGUAGGGAAACUUACUCUAAUACCGCAUACGACCUACGGGUGAAAGCAGGGGAUCUUCGGACCUUGCGCGAUUGAAUGAGCCGAUGUCGGAUUAGCUAGUUGGCGGGGUAAAGGCACACCAAGGCGACGAUCCGUAGCUGGUCUGAGAGGAUGAUGAGACACACUGGCACUGAGACACGGUCCAGACUCCUACGGGAGGCCGCAGUGGGGAAUAUUGGACAAUGGGCGAAAGCCUGAUCCAGCCAUACCGCGUGGGUGAAGAAGGCCUUCGGGUUGUAAAGCCCUUUUGUUGGGAAAGAAAAGCAGCAGGUUAAUACCCCGCUGUUCUGACGGUACCCAAAGAAUAAGCACCGGCUAACUUCGUG